rnacentral:rRNA from 1 species
GAGUGGCGAACUGGUGAGUAACACGUGGGAAACCUGCCCAGAAGCGGGGGAUAACACCUGGAAACAGAUGCUAAUACCGCAUAACAACUUGGACCGCAUGGUCCGAGUUUGAAAGAUGGCUUCGGCUAUCACUUUUGGAUGGUCCCGCGGCGUAUUAGCUAGAUGGUGGGGUAACGGCUCACCAUGGCAAUGAUACGUAGCCGACCUGAGAGGGUAAUCGGCCACAUUGGGACUGAGACACGGCCCAAACUCCUACGGGAGGCAGCAGUAGGGAAUCUUCCACAAUGGACGAAAGUCUGAUGGAGCAACGCCGCGUGAGUGAAGAAGGGUUUCGGCUCGUAAAACUCUGUUGUUAAAGAAGAACAUAUCUGAGAGUAACUGUUCAGGUAUUGACGGUAUUUAACCAGAAAGCCACGGCUAACUACGUGCCAGCAGCCGCGGUAAUACGUAGGUGGCAAGCGUUGUCCGGAUUUAUUGGGCGUAAAGCGAGCGCAGGCGGUUUUUUAAGUCUGAUGUGAAAGCCUUCGGCUCAACCGAAGAAGUGCAUCGGAAACUGGGAAACUUGAGUGCAGAAGAGGACAGUGGAACUCCAUGUGUAGCGGUGAAAUGCGUAGAUAUAUGGAAGAACACCAGUGGCGAAGGCGGCUGUCUGGUCUGUAACUGACGCUGAGGCUCGAAAGUAUGGGUAGCAAACAGGAUUAGAUACCCUGGUAGUCCAUACCGUAAACGAUGAAUGCUAAGUGUUGGAGGGUUUCCGCCCUUCAGUGCUGCAGCUAACGCAUUAAGCAUUCCGCCUGGGGAGUACGGGCCGCAAGGCUGAAACUCAAAGGAAUUUGACGGGGGSCCGCACAAGCGGUGGAGCAUGUGGUUUAAUUCGAAGCUACGCGAAGAACCUUACCAGGUCUUGACAUACUAUGCAAAUCUAAGAGAUUAGACGUUCCCUUCGGGGACAUGGAUACAGGUGGUGCAUGGUUGUCGUCAGCUCGUGUCGUGAGAUGUUGGGUUAAGUCCCGCAACGAGCGCAACCCUUAUUAUCAGUUGCCAGCAUUAAGUUGGGCACUCUGGUGAGACUGCCGGUGACAAACCGGAGGAAGGUGGGGAUGACGUCAAAUCAUCAUGCCCCUUAUGACCUGGGCUACACACGUGCUACAAUGGAUGGUACAACGAGUUGCGAACUCGCGAGAGUAAGCUAAUCUCUUAAAGCCAUUCUCAGUUCGGAUUGUAGGCUGCAACUCGCCUACAUGAAGUCGGAAUCGCUAGUAAUCGCGGAUCAGCAUGCCGCGGUGAAUACGUUCCCGGGCCUUGUACACACCGCCCGUCACACCAUGAGAGUUUGUAACACCCAAAGUCGGUGGGGUAACCUUUUAGGA